rnacentral:rRNA from 1 species
GACGAACGCUGGCGGCGUGCUUAACACAUGCAAGUCGAGCGGUAAGGCCCUUUCGGGGGUACACGAGCGGCGAACGGGUGAGUAACACGUGGGUGACCUGCCCUCAGCUCUGGGAUAAGCCUGGGAAACCGGGUCUAAUACUGGAUAUGACUCCAUGACGCAUGUUGGUGGGGUAGGAAAGCCUUGUGCGGCUGAGGAUGGGCCCGCGGCCUAUCAGCUUUGGUUGGUGGGGUGAGGCCUACCAAGGCGACGACGGGUAGCCGGCCUGAGAGGGCGACCGGCCACACUGGGACUGAGACACGGCCCAGACUCCUACGGGAGGCAGCAGGUGGGGAAUCUUGCGCAAGUGGGCGAAAGCCUGACGCAGCGACGCCGCGUGAGGGAUGACGGCCUGGUGU